rnacentral:tRNA from 1 species
GGGCCAUCUCUCGGUGGUAGAGCAUCUGUUUUGCAUGCAGAAGGCUCACAGGUUCAAUCCCUGAUGGCAUCU